CGAUCGUUCUCGUUGUAAAAUCGCGUGAUGGUGGCCUUUCAAAAACAGGAUUCAGGACCUUCUUAAAAAGAGCAACUAAUUCACCUGAAAAAGAAUGGUGUAACGGUGUCAUAACGUUAUUAGAACCCGAAAGGUAUAUCCACACCUAUGC